rnacentral:lncRNA from 1 species
AAGACACUCCCUUUUAGGUCCUUGUUCCUGAUCUUAGGGGAAGGCGAUAACUGCCCACCGAAGAGCCAUGACCUCCUGGAAAGUUCUCUGACAGCCCACUGUCCUUUCUCAGCAGUCCUGGGAGGCCACAUGGAAACCUCAGUCUCUUCUGGGGAAAAUGAAUCUCAGAGAGAAGGAAGGACUGGCUGAUAUGUCUGAACCCGAGUUGUGUCUCCAGAGGUGCUGCAGAGGGACGAGGGCCUCCUGCACACCACGGCGCCUGCUGCACUUCAGGAGCUGUGAACGUCGCAGCCACCAGCAGCAGCUUCCCCAGAAGGUCUCAAAUCUGACCAAGCAGCUGUUGAACUUCCCUGGCCUGGCAUCUCCUGCCCUCUCCUGAAGGUGUCUGCUUCCUCCAGGACAGGAGGUGCCUCGGGGCUACCACUACUGCUCUGCUGGAUGACGCCAGAGAUCUGGGGUAGGUUUGCUUCAUGGAGCUCAAAGCCAGAGGCUCUUCCUAGCAGGAGCUGAGGUCCAGAUUUGUUCCUGGUCUGUGGGGGGAAUGAGGACAAGGGACAGAGGCUAUUUCUGUGGUUGUGCCGUCUUCGAGCCUGCAGUCGCAGUUGAGCAUCUGCUGUCUUGGAUUCUGCAGCAGUAGAAAAGGAAGGGGCUAUUGAUCCGGAAGGCCCAACUUCAGAGAAGCCUUGGUGGGUGUUGGAAGUGCCCCAAAAGGAAGGCUGCUGCCCGCUGUGCCCACACCGGGGCAGGGAUGUUGUGCACAGAUCGGGGCAGAAGAGCCUGUGAACACAGGGUUGCUCUCAGGCACGCUGCCCACACUGAAGGGAAAGGGGACGCUUGGGCUGGGUGUGCCCAGGCUGGUCCGACUCAACGUUCCCCGCAGGGGCAGGGCCACAUUUGCUCCCGAUCGAUCUGUCCAGCUCCAAAGCUGGGUGCUCCAGAGAUGGAGCAGGUGCCUAGGU